rnacentral:rRNA from 1 species
UACGUAGGGUGCGAGCGUUGUCCGGAAUUAUUGGGCGUAAAGAGCUUGUAGGCGGUUUGUCGCGUCUGCUGUGAAAAUCCGGGGCUCAACCCCGGACUUGCAGUGGGUACGGGCAGACUAGAGUGUGGUAGGGGAGACUGGAAUUCCUGGUGUAGCGGUGAAAUGCGCAGAUAUCAGGAGGAACACCGAUGGCGAAGGCAGCUCGCUGGGACGGUACUGACGCUGAGACGCGAAAGCGUGGGGAGCAAACAGG